rnacentral:rRNA from 1 species
CAACCAGUCUGGUCCUCCGCAACGGUAGCUAAUAUCCCACAGCCUGGUUGCAGGAGCACAAGCACGUAGAAGCCCUUCUUUACUGGGCUCCACUCAGCGGAGACCAGGCGGCGUGCUUCUCUCGCCCCCCGAUCUAGCGUUCCCGUCUCAACGUCAGGAGGUCCCGGCGCCCUUCUUCUUCUACCAUGAGUAUAUGUUCGGAGGGAGAGCACCACUUGUGAGAAGGGACCUUAACUACCUUCUAGACGGAACGUCGGAAUCUCCUAGGUACGUAGCACACUACAUACCGGAUGUCCGAUGGUUACGUUGACUACAUCAGGACGUGUUGUGUUUAUUAAAUCACCACGAACCUAGAUCCUCACUUGACCCAGUCCCAAGACAUGAUAUCCUCCUUUGUUCUACCCCGUACACAAAAAGUUCCUAUUUAUAACCUUGACUACGGAGCGCAACUAGAGAGACUAGACCAGCCGGACCGCGCCCUUGACUCGGCGGCAGCUACCUAAAUAGCGUCGAACCGAUGGACAACGAAACCUAGGC